CUUAAUCGAUAUAACUGAGUAAGACUCUAUCACCGAAAAGGGCGGAUUUUUUCCUUAGUUGUUGAUAGUUAUAUACUAUGCGUAAAACCUAGUCGGGUAGACAUGGGUAAAUUAAGGUUACGAUGUGAUAAAUUAAUCGGCGUCCUUUAUAACUGUGUAAUAGCUAUAUAGUUUGAAUUGGCCCUCCGGCUAUGAGGUCUGGGGGUUUUAUAUAUCUUAUAAUUCUUUGUAUAGGCAAGAAAGGGUUAAAAUUACCCAUUCUUUAAAAUAGUGUUAUAACUUUUUUAUAAAAUUUUUAGAUUAUCUUUAAUAGUUAUUCAUUAAAUUAUUAGAUAAAGUUUAUGAUUAAAUAAGUAAUAUUAUUGUGAAUACAUUGCUUCUCAAGCAUUGCCCGUCUGUUUAUUAAAAACAUUUCUAUAAUUUAGUUUUUAUAGUAGUACCUGCUCUAUGUUUUCUUAUAAAUGGCCGCAGUAUCUUGACUGUGCGAAGGUAGCAUAAUUAAUUGCCUUGUAAUUGAAGGCUUGUUUGAAUGGUUUGACGCGGUAAUUGCGAACAUUGUUCACAUUGUUGAAAUUAAUUAUGAUGGUUCAGAAUCCUCUUUGAUUAAUUAGACGGAAAGACCCCGGGAUCUUUUAUUUUGUCUGGGGCAGAUAUUGAUAUUUCAUCAUUAUUGCGACCCUCCGCGAGUUUAAUGGGUUAAGUUACCCCGGGGAUAACAGUGUAAUAGUUUAUAAGAGAUCCCAUCGAAUAGACUGCUUGCCACCUCGAUGUUGACUUAGGUUUAGUCUCAGGCGCAGUAGUUUGAGAUUUGGGUCUGUUCGACCCUAGUUUACCUCC
rnacentral:rRNA from 1 species